CCUAUUUUAGACGACUGAUCCCUGGGCGAGUCAAGAUCAAACUCAUAAACCCUGAAGAAAAUGAGAGGAAGUGGUAUGGAGAAGAGGUAUAUUUCGGUUUGUGCGUGAAUCUGACGCCUAGAUCUUGCUCUUGCUGUUGCAUAUGUGGUUCGUUAGAUUCACGCACAAACCCGUAAUAUGCCUUUUCGUUGUUUUCGCCCCUACAAUCGGAUUUGCUUCUGUUCAUCGGGUUAGGUCAGAUCCCAAACUGUAUCCGCUUUUCGAAUUGAAUUCUGCUUGUUGUAGUUUGCUUGAUAAUUGACAAAUAUGUUUCCAGUUUUGAUCCUUUAAUUAAUCCUCUGCAUGCUCAACUCUUGUUUUCAUAGCAUAAAUGUUUAUAAAAUUUUGGAAAUAUUUGUCUUGAAUUAUAGCACUAUGAAUUGGAAAUGGAGUGAAUUUAGUGAGACUGUGCAUUGGAUGUGCAGUUAUACUCGUUCUAUAUUUAUUAGUUAGGGCAUGCCGUGUCAUUAAUGCUCUGCUUUGUAGAUUUAGGAGAAAAUUUCUUUCUUCAUUUUAUGUAUCAAAAAUUAAAAUGUUUUUUUUUUAAUUACAUAUCUAAUUGGUUUUCAAUUUAAGUAAUUUUAAAUGUUUGAUUUGAGCAAGUAUUUGGUUUAUCAUAUUUUGAUUUUUUACAUAUCUUGGCUUUUGGUUUUUCUUAUGCGGUUAUGCCAAUUUGAGUGUUAUUGUUCUGGCUUUUGGAGAUAUGGACUGCUUGUUGAGCAAUAAAUAAUAAAUUUAGUGAAUUUCAUAUUCAACUAUAAGCUGUUUUUCUUCUCUUUGAAGAGUGCAAACAGAAAAUCUGCAGCAAAAAGUUCAUUCUAAAUAUGACCAAACCAUCUUAAUCUCAGUUUACUUUCAAGUUAGCUUGUAUCUCAAUUCCGGAAUUCCAGUGUCAGCUCUUGUUUCUCCUUCUCCCGGCAUGAUUAUAUACAUAAGCAUUCCAGAAUUUUCUUAUGUUUUUUGCUUUUUAAAGGAAAUCUGUUCUGACAUUUUUGAAGAAGAUGAGAUUCAUUUCAGGAAGGCACUGGUUUGCUUUUCAUCAAUGCUUUCUCGUUAACUGAAGUGAAACAUUGCAUUCCUGUUCCUGUGUGAGUGCAAAUUAUGUGAUUUGGCUCCAAUGGAAGUUUUACAAUGGCAGAUGAACUAGAUCUGUUUUGAAUCCCAUGAAAAUGAUCUGUGAAUGAAGGUACAGACUAUCCAUUGUGUGUUUGAGUUUGAGGUUAUGCAUUAUUCUGCAAUGUUGCUGGGAACUUCUUCCUUUUCUAAAACUAUACAGAUGACAUUUGCUUGAGAAUUUAAUUAUUGAACAUAUGAACAGAGGAUUUAAAUAUUUAUUCCUGCUGCUUUUUGACAAAACACAAUUGUUUAUUCCUGCUGCUCUUUGGCAAGACUCUGGAAAAUAUACAGCUCCAAUUGAUAUAACAGCAUUUCUAAGGCCUAAUUAUGAUGAUGAGAAAUAAUAUCAUUCAUUUCUUCUAUAAAUGAAAAGAUGAAUGUAACUUGUAGCAUUUAUUUGAACGAGUAAUAAAUAAGGAUAUUUCCUCCCAAAAGGUUGAAUCCCCAACCCAAGGCCCCCCACGCCCUGGCCCGACAAAGCAUUUGGGAGAAUGUAAAUCAUGCCUCCCUUCACUUUGAGAAAUGAGACCCAUACUGCCGCUCGUGAGACGCGAUCCCUGGUCUUUCCUCCCAAACUUCACCCCUAUAACCAGUUGAGCUAUCCAUGCAGGUAGGAUUUACCUAUAUUUCACAUGUCAGAGUCAGACGUGACCAAGAUACUGAUUUCAUUCACCUGAAUCCUUUGUUAUCUAUGCAUAGUAUAUUGAGUAUGCUCCUAAUUUUUCAGCUUUUCUCAAUAUGAUUUGUGUUCUUUGUGGUAUACAUUCCAUCAAAUAUUUCUUCCUACAACAGAUGGAUGGUAUGGAUGCCCUUGCUGUGAAAUAAGCAUGCAAAUUUGCCGAGCAUGCACUAAAGAAUGGACCACUUGUGAGUACAUAUCAUCCUUUCUCAUGAAGUUAUUACAGGUAGGCAGUUUCCAUGGGGCAUAGGCCUCUUAAAAGGUAAUGGAGGUGUGCAAAGGUCGGAUGGAGAUUAGGAAAGAACCAACAAUUUGAUCAAGUAAUUCAUAUUACAAGUUGACCUGACAAACCUUCUCUAGCAUCUGUGUUUGCACAUUUUCCAGUUUUUAUAAUAAUCUAACUCAUCUAUAUGGUUUUGGGGAAAGAUGUUGCUCAGAUCUUGUCUGAACUGUAAUAUCUGAGUUCGGGGCUUCAAAACUAAGAUAUGCAUGUCUUAAAUAGUAUUGGGAUUUCUUUCCA